GGUUAAGCGACUAAGCGUACACGGUGGAUGCCCUGGCAGUCAGAGGCGAUGAAGGGCGUGCUAAUCUGCGAUAAGCGCCGGUAAGGUGAUAUGAACCGUUAUAACCGGCGAUACCCGAAUGGGGAAACCCAGUGUGAUUCGUCACACUAUCAUUAACUGAAUCCAUAGGUUAAUGAGGCGAACCGGGGGAACUGAAACAUCUAAGUACCCCGAGGAAAAGAAAUCAACCGAGAUUCCCCCAGUAGCGGCGAGCGAACGGGGAGGAGCCCAGAGCCUGAAUCAGCAUGUGUGUUAGUGGAAGCGUCUGGAAAGGCGCGCGAUACAGGGUGACAGCCCCGUACACAAAAGCGCAUGUGCUGUGAGCUCGAUGAGUAGGGCGGGACACGUGGUAUCCUGUCUGAAUAUGGGGGGACCAUCCUCCAAGGCUAAAUACUCCUGACUGACCGAUAGUGAACCAGUACCGUGAGGGAAAGGCGAAAAGAACCCCGGCGAGGGGAGUGAAAAAGAACCUGAAACCGUGUACGUACAAGCAGUGGGAGCACCCUUUUGGGUGUGACUGCGUACCUUUUGUAUAAUGGGUCAGCGACUUAUAUUCUGUAGCAAGGUUAACCGAAUAGGGGAGCCGUAGGGAAACCGAGUCUUAACCGGGCGUUAAGUUGCAGGGUAUAGACCCGAAACCCGGUGAUCUAGCCAUGGGCAGGUUGAAGGUUGGGUAACACUAACUGGAGGACCGAACCGACUAAUGUUGAAAAAUUAGCGGAUGACCUGUGGCUGGGGGUGAAAGGCCAAUCAAACCGGGAGAUAGCUGGUUCUCCCCGAAAGCUAUUUAGGUAGCGCCUCGUGAACUCAUCUCCGGGGGUAGAGCACUGUUUCGGCUAGGGGGCCAUCCCGGCUUACCAACCCGAUGCAAACUGCGAAUACCGGAGAAUGUUAUCACGGGAGACACACGGCGGGUGCUAACGUCCGUCGUGAAGAGGGAAACAACCCAGACCGCCAGCUAAGGUCCCAAAGUCAUGGUUAAGU
rnacentral:rRNA from 1 species